GUUAGGAAUAUUGGACAAUGGGCGCAAGCCUGAUCCAGCCAUGCCGCGUGAACGAUGAAGGCCUUCGGGUUGUAAAGUUCUUUAGCCGAUGAUUAUAAUGACUGUAGUCGGAAAAUAAGCCCCGGCUAACUUCGUGCCAGCAGCCGCGGUAAUACGAAGGGGGCGAGCGUUAUUCGGAAUCACUGGGCGUAAAGCGUGCGUAGGCGGUCUCGUAAGUUAGGAGUGAAAACCCAGGGCUCAACCUUGGAAUUGCUCUUAAUACUGCAAGGCUAGAAUCUCGGAGAGGAUAGCGGAAUUUCCAGUGUAGCAGUGAAAUGCGUAGAUAUUGGAAGGAACACCAGUGGCGUAAGCGGCUAUCUGGACGAGUAUUGACGCUGAGGCACGAAAGCGUGGGGAUCAAACAGGAUUAGAAACCCGUGUAGUCC
rnacentral:rRNA from 1 species